ACUUAUCCUCCUAUACUUCGGUUCUGUAUGUGUUAACCCCACUCUAAAAGUAAAAGAGAAAUAAUCAUCUUUUCCAAAGUGGCUGGUUAAAGUAAUACAUUAAACUGCCUUAAUUUAAAAAAAAAACAUACAUUUGAGAAACUUUCGUUACUUUACUUCUUGUGUGCUAGGGAGAAUGAAUGGACAAGUAGUAGGUUAAUAUUAAUGGCAAUCUUAGACUAUCUAAUCAUACUUGGUCCAGCAGCUUUGUGUGUAUGAAUAUGAUUUUGUAGUUGGUGGUUGAGAUGUUAUUUUGUAAAUUUAAGUUAUGGUCAACUCUGUGCUAGUAAAAUUGUUUUUUUUUUUUUUAAAGACAAAAGAGAAUGAAAUCUUUGAAUAUUCUGGAAUGUUAUUACUAUGACUUCAGAGGACUCUGCCACGUUAACAAAUUCUAAUAUACUUUAGACAGUGGAAUGAAUCCUUUGAUUAUCAUAGUUUGGAGUGUAGGUACAGUAGCCCCAGGAACCAUGCUAGGGGUUCAGGGAAGAAACAUAGACUGACUAGCUAACCUUGCCUGCUGAUGUCACAUAAAGUGAUAAGAAGUAUUGUGGACCCCUGCUAAGUGCUUUUGGGACUUCAAAGCCCAUUCAUCUAAAGAUGUGGCCAUUACCAUUUUGGCUUCCUCACUGUGCCUUGGAUGGCCCUGUACUUUUCAAGAGGAGAGCCUUGCUGGGUUGGGGCCAGCUAAAACGUUAUUCCUUGGAGUGCAGUGUCCCAGAAAAUCUGCCCUUCCUGGCCUGUGCUCUGUGAUUAUAGUCCCAACCAGGAGUGAACCUUGUUCCUAUUGGAUGAAUCAGACACAGAGUUAUGAGAUUCUUUUGCUCAAGUCACCCACAAAGAAGGCUUGGAAGUUCAUGUUCCCUAGAGAGGUGCCAAUUCUGCUAAAGAAGAUUAAGUGCCCAUAUCACACAUGCCAUAAUCCUGCAGCCAACAUCAACAAAGAGCUCAAAUCUAGCCUGGCCCUAAUCUAGGGAGCUACCACAGUGGGCUGUCAGCCCUGCCUGGGGCCCCUUUCAUUGCCAUGUCGUGUACCAGCCGAGAUGUUCAUUCAGAAAUGAGUAAGAAUGUUAGAGAACCAUCCUAUUGCAUCCUGGAAUAUUUGGUUAACAGUUUGAACCCUUUUUAUGGCUUUGAAAUAAUUAUUUCUGAAUUGGGCACAGAGGCAUUUGAUUCCUAUUUUAUUUCACUUGUUUGCAUCUGAGAAGAUGUUUAAAGGCUCUUGGCUUACCCGUGAAGUUGAUUUUCAGCAAGUAAUCCUUGUACAACUUCUUCCCAUCCAGGAUCUUCAUAGCAUCACAAAGCUUGGUAGUGUUGGGACAGAGGGUGCGCUGCAUUUUGUGCAAAGCGUGGGCCAUGGCAUACACCGCGUUCACCACAAACAUGAUCUUGGACUCUUGCUCGUAGUUGCUGCUGUCGAUGGCCAGGUGCUUGUCGCAGACGCGCCUGUGGUUGCGUUUGUUCUGGAGGCUGCACUGAAACUUUUGCUCCCAGAAGUCCCGGAACCAGGGGUUGCGGUGGUUGUUGUAGGGGUUGAGGCUCUGGAAGUAGCGGUCGAACUGGCGGACAGGCUGGGAGGCCAGCUCCAGGGUGAUGGCGCCGUAGGCCACAUGCUCGCUGCCCUUGAUGAUGCUCUCCUGCGCGCCCCAGCCGUCGCUGGCCACCCAGGUGAAGGAGGCAUUGGCGCGGCUGGCGGCUGCAAUGAGCUCCCGCGAGUCGUCGCUGCGCAUGAAGAGGACCACGACGCGCGCGUUGGGCUUCUGCAACAGUUCUCGGAUCACGCUGUCGUAGGACUUGCGGAUGUUGGAGCGGCCCACCUUCUCCGCCGUAGCGAUGCAGAUGUUGCGCAGGCGGGCUUCCUGCUCGAAGGCCUCGAUCCCUGUCUCCCCGUAAUCACCCUCGGAGGCUACUGUGGACACGUAGGUCCAGUUGAAGAAGCGCAAGAUCUCAGCCAUGGCUUUGGCCUGGUAGAAGUCGGGGGGCACGGUCCUGGCAAAGUAAUCAUAGCGCGACUUAUCACUGAGUUUGGCGCUGGUGGAUGCGUAGCUGAUCUGAGGGAUCUGGAAGAGCCGCAGCAGGACUAGGAGACUCUGGACAAAAUGGCCUAUACUGACUUAUUUAGGCAUAGGAAUAUUGCUUCACUCAGCCUGACUGAAAUGGCAGGUGUCACCAAACAGGUACUGUCAUUACUUCUAGAAUGAGUGCCUGGCUUCCACUGGAUUUAUGUACCACUAUGGAAGGCUUGGUGAUAGGAGCCCUGUCUAUGCAUAGCUUGACUUUGUUAAGAGGUUUCUGGCUAGCACUGGAGAGGCCAUCUCUUCUUGAUACAAUGAUUUUCUCAUCUUCAAGUUAUAUUAAUCAGGACCUGAACCCCUCAGGGAGACAGAGAAUGAAAGGACCUAAAAAAUAUCUGGACAUUAUUUUCUGGCAGCGAAGAAUCACAGUGAAACAAUCCUAAACUGCUGAAAUUUCCUCUCCCAUAGGGGUAGGAGUAAUGAGAAACUGCUCAAAAAAAAAACAAAAAAGUUCUUGUUUUUCAAUGAUAGGCUUCAUGUCUAACUCUCCAGGAUGUACGAGAAUAAUUUACAAUGAAGGCAGGCUUUGCAAGAGAACGAACUAGCCAUAGAAUAACAGCAAUGUGGGAAAGAUUCUCUGCAUUGGAAAGGGGCACAAUGAGCUGUAACUUUGGGGAAGGCUGUGGGCUAGAAUAAAACAGCAACUAUUGCCAACAUUUUAAGAAUAAUUUUAUGUUCCUCUGUGUGUGUGUGUUUAAUGAGGAGACCACAACUGACUCUAGAAAAAGGAGGCACAUUUGGUGAGUUGAAACGUGAAAUUGGAACAUAGUAAGUAUUAUCUCAAUUGUAUCACCUAUAUUGAAUAGCAUGGGGUGAUAAUAUAGUCAAACUUACGAUAUUCAGAGUUACAUUAGAAACACAUGUAAUACAAAUGAAUCAUGGAGUGAAGUAUUGAAGUAAUUUUAUCACAGUGAGCUGCUCCUUUUAAAAUUAGUUUCUUUAGAUUAAAAGGGUUAAAAUGCUUAAAAGUAAACACCAUGGGAGGCAAUAGAUUAUAAGUCUCUCUCCUUUCUCUUUCUCAUCCACCUCAGCCUUAUUUGUAAAGAAGAAUGUUAGUUUGGUUUAUUCAUUUAAAAAAUGUGUUUAUUCUGUUGUAAAACCAAGUACCAAUGUACUGGGUAUGUACAUACACACACACACACACACAAACAUAUUUUGCUCUUUUGAUAGUCACAAUAACUUUUUAUGGUGGAUAUUAUUAUCUCUAUUUUAGAUAUGCAAAAACAGUUCUGCUAGGUGAAGAAACUUGUUCAUAGCCAUAUGGUUAGAAUGUGUGGGUGAAAUCAAGGUGUAAAACCAGGUGUUUUGACUUCAAGGACUAUGGCUAUCCCCUCACAGCUUCCUCUCUACCUUCUACUGUGUGACUAUAAACCUGAGGCUUCAAACACAGAAAGGCAUCCAGGUAGAAAGAACAAGAGGAACAGAAGCAAUAUUAUGGUAUACACCAUAGACUGCCUAGUUGCUGUUAGCAGGAACUUUCCUUUUAACAUAAAUUUAAAACUAGGGUUGGGGAAUAUCCAGGUAGUUGUUAACUGGGUUCCUGUCUCAUUUGUCUAAAAGCUUGGUUCUGGAAUAUUCUUGACUUACUUUACUGGCCAUAUGGUUUCUCUGAGAAAGCAUAAAGAAAUAAAGGAACUCCUACACUGGACAUCAUUUUGAAUGAUAAAAGAAAAAUUGUUUUAGAAUGGAGAAGUAAUGUAAAAUUUUGGAAGAAAGUUACCCAAUUAUGUUAUUAUUAGAUAGAGUGGAGGAAGGAAAAACAGGAUGUAGUUAUAUAUGCUUUGGAAAAAAAUACUUUAAAAGAGAUAUGCUUCACAUAAAUUAAGACUCUAAAAUGGAAUACAGGAGGACUAUAAAAAUAAUUCAUACAAUACAGAAUAGUCUCAACAAGAAAGAGAAGAUGAAAACUCUAAAGAAUCCACUGGGUGCUAGGCUGCAUUUGGGGGAUUUUGGUGUUAGAAGAACCAGCAACACAGAAUGGGUGCUGUCUGUAUGUAUGUUGGGGGCGUCCCCAUAUACAACAUAGAAGAUUGACAUAAGCCUGUAAAAAUAAGGGACGCUAAAGCGCAGAAUGUGAAAAUGCAUCAAAGUGAUUUUUGUCAUUGCUAUUGUUUUGAUUUGAAAUUAUGUUUCAGGAGAAGAUGUGGCAGGAAGAUACAGAAUCAUCAAAUGGGAAAGUUGGUUCUAUAUGAAUAAAAGAAAGAUGCUGCUCCAUCCCUCUUACUUUCUCAUUCUCUCCAUUGAGAAUGGUUUCUAACAUGGAAAUGGCAGUACAAAUAAUAUAAAAAGGUUAUCACACUCAAAAGUAGGAGAGAAUACAAAAAAAAAAAACCACCCCAUAAUCAGAUGAAUGGAGUUUGUCCCCAGUAAUGAAUUCUGGAAGAAAUUGCAGAUUACAUUAUGAAAUCACUAUCAAUAAUUCUUGAAAAACACACAAUGGAGGACUCCCACAGGGUGAAAGGGACAGGGUGAAAGGGAAGGAGGAAGGACAAAUUCUGGAUAUAUAAAUCAAGAAGAAAUAUAAAUGAAUAAGCAUGAUGUGCUUUGGUAAUCUUCUAGAACAAAGUUUGCUAACAGAGAGCAUGGAAACACUUAGAACUGAACGAGGAAAGUACUAGGAAUCAGCAUGGGUUUAAUAAGAGUGAAUUUUACCAGGGGGCCAUCUUUUCAACAUUAUAUAAGGAAGAGUUGCAGCCUGGAGGACCAUGACUUUAAUAAGUUAUUGGUGACAUUGCUUGGACUCUUGAGGAAAAGAGAAAGUGAUAGGAGUUGGAUAAUACAGUUAAACGUACUCAAAGACAGCAGCUUGGAAGAAAGUCUUAUAUUUAUUCCAAGUCUUUAUAUAAGUCUUAUAUAAAGUCUUAUAUUUCUAUAUUUAUAGUGGCCAAAUAAAAUUACAUUUGUAUUAAUGCCAUUGAAAAAAGCAUAAAUAAGCAAUAAGAUCUUUACAUUGUAGAGAUAGAAGAAACUGUGAAGAUGAUCUAAACCUUUUGUUUUAUAGGUGAGAAAACAAUCUCACAGGGUGAAGUGACUUUUCAAAAUUUAGACAACUAAUAGGCAGAAAGCCUAAGAUUAGAGCUCAGUCUCUUGAUUUUCUCAAAGGACUAGUUUCCCUCUCAGGAAACAAGGUGAUAUUAUAUAGGAAGAGAUGUAAAUUCCUGAGUUUAAGUUAAAAUUACACAGGUGAAGAAAGAAGAAAAAACUAGAAAAAAUGAAAUUAUAAAUGCAAAAUUCAAUAUUGCAGUUCAGCAAGUGCCAGAAAUCUAAGGGUGGCUAAAGUCAAAGACGGAUUAUUAAGUGGUUUAUCCUGUUUAGAUUCCAAUUCAGAAUUCCUCAGAAGUGAACAAAGAAGAGCUAUUUCAGUUUUCCUAUUCUCUAAGUUACUGUUUUCAGACUACCUUUUUUUUUGGGUAAGGCUUUUUUGGGGAAGCCUUUUAAAGAUCCCUAGUAUUUUCAGUAGUCCUAAUAUUUUUGUGCCAGCUACUGUUCUAAUUGUUGCAGAUGUGUUUUCUCAUUUAAUCCUCAGGGCAUUCUUAUGAUGUAGAUACUACCAUUAUCCCAUUUUAUAGCUUGAGAAACUAAGGUAAAGAGUGCAUAGAGAUCUUACUGAGGAACCCAUAAGUGGUAGGAAUUCUGGGACCACUCACUGUACUCACUUUUGUCAUAUUUAUCCAGUCCAUUCUGCAAUCCAAGCUCGUAAUGGAUUCCUCUCACUAUAAUGAUGCAAUGAUAUAUUUCAAGGUAUAAUGUUUGUCUGUUUUUUUGUUCUGAAGCCAUAAACUCCUUUAUUUGAGGAUCAUGACCAAUCAUCCCUUGCUAUCAAAAGUAUGCUUUUCAUUUGUCAGUCUGUGCUUUGUGGUGACUCCAUAAACAUUCGUUUACUGACUGGCCAUCAACAGAGAUAACAAUGAUAGUCUAAGAGUCUACUGGGAAAUUUCCACGGGGGCAAUGAAAGCUUCAAGCUAUAAAUAUCAGAGUCAGAUUUGGCUUUCUGAUUUAUGUGAGAAACACAAUGGCCUUAUAGCAGAACCCAUUAGUUCCUAGGGCCUGAGAGGCGGCAUGCAAGUAAGUUAUGUUUAGCAGAAUCUCUUUCCAUGUGUAGCAUGUACUGUCAUUUUAUUUUCAAUGUUCAGAUAUUAUGCGGUACCCAUUUUCUUGGUGUUUUGAAUUUAUCCAGGACUUAGGUGUUGCAAUGUUUUCAUUGCAGGUUAUCAAGUCACAGAUGUGAUUAAUUUUGCUCAAGAAGAAAUGCUGGACUUGGCCAGAUAUGAUUAUGUUUGCCAGCAGAUGCAAUGUUAUAAAAUUGGUAUUUUUUAAUUAUACUUUAAGUUUUAGGGUACAUUUGCACAAUGUGCAAGUUUGUUACAUAUGCAUACAGGGAUCUAGAACUAGAAAUACCAUUUGACCCAGCCAUCCCAUUACUGGUAUAUACCCAAAGAAUUACACAUCAUGCUGCUAUAAAGACACAUGCACACGUAUGUUUAUUGCGGCACUAUUCACAAUAGCAAAGACUUGGAACCAACCCAAAUGUCCAACAAUGAUAGACUGGAUUAAGAAAAUGUGACACAUAUACACCACGGAAUACUAUGCAGCCAUAAAAAAUGAUGAGUUCAUGUCCUUUGUAGGGACUUGGAUGAAGCUGGAAACCAUCAUUCUCAGCAAACUAUUGCAAGGACAAAAAAAAUUAGUAUUUGUGUCUUUUCCCCAUUGUUGUAGUUAUAAGCUGGUGUAAUUUAGAAUGGGCUUUACUUGCAGUAGUUGUCUAACAAACCAUUGCUAAAUGUUAUUAAAUAUCUGCCACCAUUUUCCCAAUAUAUUUUUUUCUUCCAAAUAAACUCAACUUUAUGGAGAAUCUCUGACUUACUGUGAUGUUCCUUCUGUCUAGAAUGACCUUUACCACUUGUCUGCUCAGCUAAUCCAUUCAAGGGCUUCUUCUCUAAGGAACCGUUCUAAUGCCUGACUUCAGAAUGACUUGUGUGCCCAUUCUCUGAGCCUCUUUCAUUCCCUCAUGUGUUUCUCUCAUGGUACUAAUGAAAAUAUAUGGUGAUUUCUAGAUUAUUCACUAAGUUCUCCACUGGAGUGAGAACUCUCGUUAAUCUCUGAAUUCUCAAUGCCUCACAGAGUAUAGAGGUGCUCUAUAAUAUUUGUUAAAUGGAUUGAUGAGGGAAUUGAUAUUUUGCUGCUCUACCAUGUAACCUUUUCUAAUUAUAAUGAUGGGUUUGUGUGUGUGUGUGUGUGCGCACGUGUGCACAUGCACACACGACGGGGAAGCUGACCACCAGCAGGCAAUAUGAAGCCACUCUGAAAUAUGACUGAUAAACAAUUUUAUUGUGCAAUGUGGAUCUUUAACUAGUCAUAUUCAUUUUUUUAUUAAAACGAGAUGACACAUAAGACAAGGAAUUGAUUUAGACCUUCAGGAAUCAACUCACACCACUUGCUCCCUUAUUCUUGCUUUAGGAAUGUUUAAAACUUUAUUUUUUUUCACAAUCAAUAGCCAAUUGUGGAAUGAUGCUACAGUAGGCAUCCAAGCCAUACUCAUUCACAGAUGGGAAUUUUUAGUUCAAUACUAAUUUAUUUGGAAGUUUUAUUUCUCAUGAUAUUUUCUAACAAGGCAUAGAGCCUUCUUUUUAGGAUCCCAGGUGCCAUGCUUUAUUUCAAUGAUGAGUGUGUGUGUGUAUCCAAAUUUUGCUUUUGUGUAAGAAUACCAGUCAUACUGAAUUAGGAACCUACCCUACUUCAGUAUGACCUCAUCCUAACCUAAGUACAUAAGCAAUGACACCAUUUUUCAAUCAAGUCACAUUCUAAGGUACUGGGGGUUGGAACUUCCAAUAUUAUGUUGAAUAUAAACUUUCAGUCUUUUAGCACUGAGUAUGACAUUAGCUGUAUAUUUUUAGUAUACGGCUUUUUAUUACACUGACAUAGUUUUCUUCUAUUUCUGUGUGUUGAUUUAUCACAUGUUGUGCAUUGCUUAUCAUGAAAGGUGCUGUGAUCAUGGGAGCAAAAGAAUAUGAGCUAUGAGAAAGAUCUCAGGCAGUUUACUCUAUUCUUUUCCUGUUGUGAAAAAAGAGAAUGUGAACUGGAAAAUAUCAGUCACUUGUGAGCCCCCACAUCAGUUCCUUAUUUACUAUUUCUACUCAGGAUAUACAUGAUGUAUCAAUUUCAAACAGAGCUUUGUGCCUUCUAUGCUGACACAAUGCCAAAUAUUUUUUUUUCAACACAAGACAAAAGGACUGUGGACAUGUAGAAUCUGGUAGAAACAAGUUUCCCACUAAAGUGAUUUUUUAGUGCUAUGAGAAUUAUUUUCAGAAGUUUUACAGUUAUUGGCUUCUGAAUUUGUGCUAAUACAUUAAAGGGAACAAUAAUAAAUAGUUUUAUGAGGAUCUAUACUUAGCUACAAAAAUUCCAGAUGACAAAGAGGCAUCAAAUGCCCACUUCCAAGAAGAAUGUUAUUUACAGAGCUGAACUAUAUACAUUUAAAAAAUAAACCAUUGCUACUGCCCUGUAAUCAGGAGACUUGAUAAUAACCUUCAUGUUUAUUCUCUGCUGUUCACCUAUCUUUUUGGGGCUGUUUUCUAAGAAUAAGUCUACACCUUUAAUUGCUUUGUCACACAUGCAGUGCUGAAUGUUUUGUUUAGUUCUUUUAAUUAAAUGCUUAUAUAUGUGCCUGGAAGAGAACCAUUGAGUUGCUGCACUUUGAACCAUCUGUUACCUCAUAGCACAGGUUAUUACAUAAAAACAAGUUCUAGAAUUUGUGAUGUUUAGAGACCUCAGUGUCCCUCCUAUUCAGCUUGUUCAAGUUACAUUAUUAGCUGUACAAAAUCCCAGAUUGGCUUGUAUUUUAAACUGGAACUGGAGGUGGUAUAUAGUUGACAAAACUGCCUGAGAAAUUCAAGCUGUUCACAUCAUAUGAGUUAUCUGCCCAUAAAGGAGUCCAAUCAUAUUGUUAUUGCUAAAAGGAUUAGUAACUUUUUUUGUUUUGUUUUGUUUUGGCCACAUUACCUGUAGCACAUCUGGGAACAAUUUGCAUGAAAACAAUUGAUGCCCAUGUCCCAAGACCAGGAAUUAAUGUUGAUUUUAGAAAUCGUAUAAUGAAGUAUAGCAAAUACCAGUGUACGCAGUAUAAUAUGAAGAGGUCAACAACUCUUACAUGCCAUGGGCCCCAAAAACACUUGAGUCAAAGAUCCAUAUUGGUUAUCACCAUUCAACAGCAUGGCUCAGUACCAGUGAUUUCACAUGGACAUUCCAAACAAAGGACUCCCUAAUCAUAGUGGAAACCUUCAAAAAUUGCUCAAAGUCACCCUGCUUUCCAUCCCAAGUCUCUCUGAAAAUCAUUGCACUCAUCUCCUGUAGUUUGUAACCAGGAUUGUCACACACUUUUAUUUUCUUCAUUUGAAACUGAAGGACUUCUUAAAUAGUAAGGUUAUUCAUUUUGGCAUUUUCAUAACUCAUCAUUUAGGUUGAAGUGAUAUGCAGACCACAAAGGAUUCCUCGAAUCCUAUCAUUUCAGGAGACUGGUAUUAAAAGACAUGUCAUAUUUCUCACCAUCACGAUGCUAUUCCACAUUCAGAUAUCUAGCUUGUUCCCUUACUAACAAGGAACUAUCUCAGGAAUAACUUUCUUUCCAUCCAGAUUUAGCAGGUACUUACAAGACAAACAAGAAGGUAUUUUGCCCACUGAAUUAGUCUGCAUCUGCUCUUUGCUUCCCUUUUCCCCCAUGCAUUAGUUUUCAGGAGAAAUCACAGAAGUGAAGUGGUUCAUGUUCCAGUUCCUAACAACAGGAUCAAAAAGUCUGUGUCAUAUCUGGUGUCAAGAGUGUUUGUGUUUGCCAGCAACACCUGCGAAAGCAUGACUUCCAGGGUGACUUGACAUCAAAAGACCUGUUAGAAACACAUCGUUUAGUACCUCAGAUAUUGAUUUUUGACAAUGUCUCUUGAAGUUUUAACAGAGCCACAAGUUGAGCUAAUCUAUAUUUUUCUGUGGUCCCUGAAGUCACUUGUAUAACAAUAAUAUGAGAAAUAUGGCCUUAUCAAUAACAAAAGGCAUGCCAAUCUUUGUCAGUUGUUAACCAAAGGACAAAAGCUGUUGGGUAUGCUUGGGGAUAGCUGAGGGCUAUAGCCUAAUAUUUCCUUAAAUGAUUAUCAUUUACUUUUGAGGUCUUGGGGCAAUAAUUUAGGGCAAAGGUAUAUUCACCAUAUUGUAGCAAACAGAAUUGUGUUAUUCAUUGUUUUCUUGUUAACUACUCUUUACUUCAACAGAGCUGUCAGACACAAAAGAAGCAAAUGGUAUUGAAGCAAAAGAAGCAAACAGUGCACAGGGUUGGAAUCAGGCCAGCAUUGGAAUCUCAGCUCCUCUCACUAGCUGUGUGACCUUCGGCUAGUUAUUUUAACUCCUUAAGCUGCAAUUUCUUUAUCUGUCAAAAGAAAAGGAUAGUAAUCCAUGGUUUAUGAAGUCAUGUAAAGAUUAAAUGAAAACAUAUGAAGCACUUAACUCACUGAUGGGCAUGUAGUAAAUGCUCAAGAAGCAAUAGAGAGGGUGAUAAUAGCUAAUUUGUCAUCACUCAUUCAGCAAACUUUGACUGAUGUCGAUUAUACAAGGCACUAUUCUAAAAUCUAGUUUUGUUUUUUUUUUCCUGGAUGAGCAAUGUACCCCUACAGUCCUCCAGGAAGUCGUAAUUUGAUGGGAGACAAAGAAACAUAGCCAAGGAUACAAUUUUAAGGUCACCUUGAAUCCUUCCUGGAAAAAAGCAGGUCAUAAAUAAUAAUGGUUGUUGGAGAAAGGUCUCUAGGAAAGAUGAAGAACUUUUAAAUUCCUAGAAGCAUCUUAGAAAAGAUAACACAAAAACUUUAUUUAAUGUAAAAAUAAGAGCUGAGAGUCAGUUAAAUAAACAUUGUUAACAGUUGAAAUUUUCUGGAUUAUCUGCAUUUAUUGUUACUUUCCUUUACUUUUUAAUUUAAUUUUAGAUCAAGGAGUUACAUGUACAUAUAUGUUAUGUGGGUAUAUUGUCUGAUGUUACAUUCCUUUAAAUCUUGUAUAAAUAAUCUUUCUUAAAACUACUUUGUAAACUUAGGUAAUAUAGACUUAAUGCACAUGUAUAUUUUUAUUUAGAUGGAAUUUACUUUUUUAUUGAGAAAUUCAGAACAAAUUUUAGAUCAUUUGUUCAACCACAUCUGUUUUCCUUAUUGGAAAAGCUUAAUUGCCUGGUUUGCAUUCUAUGAGGCCUCAUUUGUGAACCUUAUGGUAUCUACCGAAAUUGGAGGCACUGUGCCUGGGAAAAAAACUACUAGUCCUUUGUGUAAACACACUGACAAUUCAACCCUAUUAAGUGAUGGCAAAUCUGUCAAGAUGCUUUGCCAUUCUGACCACUUGGCAAGGAAAUCUGGUCUAUGUUUAAAAUAUAAUUUUUGAAGGUGUUGCUUCUAUUGAAUUCUCCCCUGUAUUGCAGUUCGCUUUAUUGGAAUGUGAAGCCAAAGUGUUGGCAAGAAUCAAAACUUUGUUACUAGUAACAAAGGGAUUUCCACAAUAUACCAGGUGGUGUUGUCAAAAAUAGUCACACUACACUUUUAGUGUUCAAAGUCCCACUGAUAAACCUCCUGGAGGAUCGUUUGUUUGGAGUUUAACUGCAGGUGUUUUUGGAACACUAUUCUUAAAUUCCCAAAGUCUGCUAAUUAGAAAGGUAAUCUGUGAAUUUUCAACUGCAUUUUCCAUAGAUCAGUAGAAGCACCUCUACUACAUUAAAUCCAUGGACCUUCAUUAUUAUAAACUGCUAACCGCUGCUCUUUCCAUAUUGAAAUACUGAAAUUGUACAUAUCAAUCCAUGAAAAAGGCACAUAUUUAAUGGUAAUUUGGAAAGAGAACUUUGUGUCAUUAAGGCAAAAUAUCAUAGGUUUAAUCAGAAGUGUCAGCAGUCCUAUUUCAAUUCAUUUACCUAUUAAUCUAUAAUCAUAGCAUAAAACACUGCUGCUAUCUUAGGAAUGUCUGUAUUCUUUGCUUUUUAUCGCGUGACCUCCAUCAUAGACACCUGACCUGCAGUGUAAGCCUGGACCAUCCUAUUGCCUUGUGAACAGUGGUCCUGACGGCAACUUCUUAUCUUUCGGUAGAGUAGUUUCCAAAUAAAUACAUGACAGAAGGGGAAUUAAUUAAGAAACAAAUUAACCCCAAUGCAAAGGAAAAAAAUAGUAGCAUAUCAGAUAAUUACUUCUGAUGAGAAAUUUCUACAAUGAAGCAAUGCUAACAAAAGCAUUUUUAAUUGCUGUUGCUGGUGCCUCCCUCCCUGUGAUGAAGUCCUUGAAUGGCAUUGCCCUUUCUUGGAGGAGUUGAAGCAGGAGCAAUGGAAGGAGGUUUCAAAACAAUCAGUGUUGUGAGAUUGCUUUAGAAUGAAAAGUCUGGGAAGGAAAUAAAUGAAAAGAUUCUGUCUGAGAUAACUUUUGAGUCAGAUUUUUCUGCAGCUUAGACUAUGUGAGGGGGUGGUUGGUGUGGGAGGCAAGCUAUCUGGAUUCUCAUGUUGAUUCUGCUACUUGUAAAGUGAUAAAAACUUGAACUUGGAACUUGACCUCUGUGAGUCUCAAUUCCUCUUGAAACUGUUCCUUUUGGGCUGGAGAUGUUGAAAGUAAAAUAAAUAAAUAAAUAAAUAAAUAAAAGGUAAUGGAUAAUAAUAUCUACUAAAAUGUUGACUGCUAAGUAUACAAGGUACCAUUUUCUCACUUUUCAUGUAUUUUCUUAUUUAAUUCCCACAAUAACCCAAUGAGAGAGGUACUACUAAUAUCCCCAUAUUACUAGGUACACAUGUACAUAAAGACGGCAACAGUAGACACUGGGAACUAAUAGGGGGAGAAGGUAGGAAGGGGUUCAAGGGCUGAAAAGCUACCCACUGGAUACUAUGUUCAUUAUCUGGGUGCCAGGAUCAUUUGUACCCCAAACCUCAGCAACACACAAUAUACCUAUGUAACAAACCUACAUAUUUGGCCCUUGAAUCAAAAAUAAACGUUGAAAUCGUAAAAAAAAAACUCAGUUUUAGACAUGAGUAAAGAGACAAUGCAGGGUUAAGUGAAUCCUAGUCAGUCUGCACAGAGUUUUAAUCACUGUGUUGAAAUUUUUCAAGAAAGGCAUACUAAAAAUGUACAAUUGUAACAUAUCCAUGCUAUAAUCAUUGUAUUUGCAGUACUAAACUCCCUAAAUGCAACUAUCAUUUUUACUAUUCUAGUGAUAGAGAUACUGGUGAUAGAGUAGUGAAUGGAUUUCUAAUCCUGUCACUCUGCUUUUCUUGAGGGUAGGAUGAUGUUCUCUUUGCCUUUGCAUUAGCUACAAGCACAGCAUCUGGCAUAAAAAUAUUCCCUGCAUAUUCUUCCCGUGGAGAGACUGCAGACAGCUAGAUAAGAGGACAGGCUCUAACAUUCAAAAUGGCCCUGACUGUCUAGUUGUGUUGAGCCUUGGAUAGUCUUCUCUGGAAUAGUUGGUCUAAGUACAAUUGGAAUGGAACCCCUAGAGCUGCUCUCAAAUCAAAGCAUCUGUGGCACAUGUGUAAAGAAUGGGAGUGAGGACGAUGGGGGCAAUUUUGUCCCACAUGCUCGCCUUGCAACAUUGUCUGUCUUUUAUAUCUAAACAAGUCUUCCAUUGCAGAGAAAUGCUUAUUUCUCAUUUAUGAGCAUCCAGACUGAUCUAGAAUAGGUGGGUGAUGGUUGUGACCCUUAAUCCAAGAUUCCCAUAAAGAUUUUGAGCCUUCUGGAAGUAUAGCAGGUUAACAUCUUUCAGUUCUUAUCAACUGUACAUAGGUAAUCAAUUCUUUCAAUUCAUUCAACAAAGACUUACUCUCUACCUGGUUGAGACACUAUUCUAGGUAUCAGUAAUAUAAUAUAAAGACAAAAAAUGUGGUUCUUAAACUCAAGUGGCUUAUAGUUCAUGGAAGAAUAAAUAUGCAAAUGAACAGUUAUAUUUACUUAGUAAUGGAGGGGCAUGUACAUGAAGUGAGUACUUGGGAAAGGGUUCUCACAGGGAUAGGACUGAAGGAAAGUAGGAUUUGCAAGGCAUACAGACAGCUGAAGAACACUGCAUUCUAGGUGGAUGAAACACUGUGUUCCCUCAUAUAUGAAAGACUGUGCAGACAUCUUUCUGUAGACUAUGAGAAAGCAACUUUCCAGGAAGGCUUCGAAGGCAGGCUUUCUGUUUAUGUAUAUCUAGACGUCUUUCCCCUGUUCAAUUCUAUUCCUGUCUGCUAAUUCUAUUCUUCUUUCUGAUCUCCCUGUACUUAUGUUGCCAAUUGAUACUCAGAUUCUACACUUGGACUUGUUUUAUGUAUGGUCUUGAUAUUUCAAUUUGCUUCUAUAUCCCUCAGAAGCUUGUAAGAUAUCUACUAUUUUAAAAUUGUAUUUUAUGUUCCCUCUACUCCAUGUCAAGACUACAUGAUAAUGUUCUAUAGAAUAAUGUUCUAUAGAAUAAUGUUCUAUGGAAUACUGUUCUUGCUGUGCCUACUGUAUACAUGCUUAAUAAAUGCUUAUUUUCUGAUAAAAA